GAUGAAUCUUAGCAAACACCAUUCAGAAAGAUUUUUUUUUUUUCCCUCGACGUAGUACCUCUCGUUUGGAAGACCACAACCAUCUAUCCAUUAACGGUCUCCAACCCACCAAGAGCUCGCGCUUCCAGAAUAUUCGCAGGAAUGACUGCUCUUCAUCAUGGAAAUAUGAAUUGCAGCAUCUUAUGUAAAAGGGGAGUGGUUUCCUUUGUGGGUUUUGCGGCUCUUCCAUUUUCUCAGCCGAGGGCGAGUGCCUUUGAAGGUUUGGUGAGAGGAGGACUUAUUAGUCAAAGCUUAUAUAGAAAGGAGAGUCCUAUUUUUCUGGCAAAUGGAUCCAACCGCGUAUUGUCAAAGAAACUGAUCCUUACCAUCCCCAGAAGCAGCCCUUCUUCAAACUCCAGUGGUAGUGACAAUGACUCCUCUAAUCAGGCCAAGGUAUGUACAGGCAAGGACUAGUGAAUGAUUUUGUGUAUGGAGGAACCAAUAAGAUCUAUUUACUUGUAAUCAUAUAUUGGUCUUUAAAUGCUUGAUACUUGCUUUAUUUUGUUUCUAUUUGAUUCCAUGUUUAUUCAAAAAGGAGAUGAUACAUCAAGUUAUGCUAUGGGUUAAACCCAAUUGGUUAAGCUUAAAACAAAAUUCAGACUUUAACACAUUUUGACUCAAAAGCGAAUUUCAUUAAUGGGUGUGAUCCUUUCAGUUUGCUGAUAGUGUCUACCUAGUGGUACACCUUGGGUCCUAUGCUGUGUCCAUGGCUCUGGUUAAUGCUAGAGUUUCUUUGGAAUCCUUAAGUUAGAAUGAAGCAUAACUGAGAGCAGUAUUUUAUGAUCAUUUUGCCUGUUUGCUUCUUCUUGCUUGACAAAAUAUAUAUCUUGUUUCAAAAGUGAAUUUGGUUAACGAGUGGUCCUUUCGGUUUGCUGAUAAACAGUUGCUAAUGGUACACCUUUGGUCA